CCUGAUUCGUCAGGAUGAUAUGUGGGUGAAUACAGUCACUCGAAUCGAAAC
rnacentral:ncRNA from 1 species